rnacentral:rRNA from 1 species
AUUGAACGCUGGCGGCAUGCCUAACACAUGCAAGUCGAACGAGUGGCGGACGGGUGAGUAAUGUCUGGGAAACUGCCUGAUGGAGGGGGAUAACUACUGGAAACGGUAGCUAAUACCGCAUACCAUCAGAUGUGCCCAGAUGGGAUUAGCUAGUUGGUGGGGUAACGGCUCACCAAGGAGACGAUCCCUAGCUUGUCUGAGAGGAUGCACAGCAACACGUGAACUGAGACACGGCCCAGACUCCUACGGGAGGCAGCAGUGGGGAAUAGUGCACAAUGGGCGCAAGCCUGAUGCAGCCAUGCCGCGUGUAUGAAGAAGGCCUUCGGGUUGUAAAGUACUUUCAGCGGGGAGGCGUUACCCGCAGAAGAAGCACCGGCUAACUCCGUGCCAGCAGCCGCGGUAAUUC